UGUCCAUGGAUAGGGGCAGAUGAAAUAAUAGGCCAGUUCCUAGAAGCCAGAAAGACAAAUCAAAAAACAAGAAGGAUGUUGGGAAGAAAAAGCCAUAUAAAAAUCUGAGAUGUUGUCAACCUUUUGGGACUAGACUCAAGUUGCUUUAGGACAGAAAGCUGUACUGUCUGUGACCACUUCUGGUUGCGUGUCUGCUAGACCAAAAAUGAUGAAUGAAGAGUGGUUUAUAGCCUUUCCCUCUCCCCAGCCCCUAUGAGAGCAUUUGAGCAUUGCCCACUCAGCUGUGCACUCCACUGCCCGCAUUUCCUAGGUCAGUCUUCAAGAGGAAAGCAGUCAGAGCCAAAGGACAACUACAAACCAUAGGACCUGCACAAGCUGAAAGAGAAGGAAACUGGUAUGUCCUAAAAGUCUCCUGGAUGCUGGGGAAGGAGGUGAUCAACAAACAAGACAGCAGGGAAGACUGUGAACUAGAGAGGCAAUAAUUGGAAGGUUAAAGACACAAGACAACUCAAAGCAAUGUCUGACCCUGGCUUGGAUCCUGUAUUGGAGGAGAAAAUGCUGUAAAAAGAAAAAUCAUUAUUGGGGCAAUUGAAUAAGGACAAUCUCUUGGAUAAAACUGCUCUAUCUGUUAAAUUUAUUGAAGUUAUGAGUUACAGUUCUGAAAGAGAAUAUCCUUGUUCUUAGGAAAUGCACAGUGAAAUAUAUAGGAAUAAAGUGGUCCUGGGAUAAAGGGUCAUACUGUAUACAGUUUAAUGUUGGUAAUAUAAUAUAAAGUAUAUAAAGAGAGUGAGACAAUGAAUACAAAACAAAGGGGGCAAAAUGUUAAAAAUAGAUUAACUUGAGUAAAUGGUAUAAGAGGUGUUCUUUGUAUUGUUUUUGCAACUUUUUUGUAAAUUUGAAAUUAUUUCCAAACCAGAAGAAAAAUCAUUAAAGAAAACAGUAUCCAAUAAAGCAUGUGGUGACAAUGAGACAAUGAAUAUUCUUCCACUGGAGUCCUCAUUUCCCAUCCCCCGGGCAACUCCUACUCAUCCUUUAAAAUAAUCUGCCAAGGUAUUACUUUCUCUAUGUUACCUUCCCCAACAUU